UACGAAGGGGGCUAGCGUUGCUCGGAAUCACUGGGCGUAAAGGGUGCGUAGGCGGGUCUUUAAGUCAGGGGUGAAAUCCUGGAGCUCAACUCCAGAACUGCCUUUGAUACUGAAGAUCUUGAGUCCGGGAGAGGUGAGUGGAACUGCGAGUGUAGAGGUGAAAUUCGUAGAUAUAUGGAAGAACACCAAUAACGGCGAAGGCAGUUAACUAUUCUGUUACUGACAUUGAGGCACGAAAGCGUGGGGAGCAAAACGG
rnacentral:rRNA from 1 species